GUUAUACAACUAGUUUGUUAAAGUCUAUUUUGAAUCAAGAGCAAGCUCGGCGGAGCAAAAUAUAACCUAGGAUAUAAUUGUGAUUCUCUGCUAUUAAUAGACUUGGAUUAGAAAUCAAAAACCCUAGAUGCCAAAUUUCAACUCUAAUUUACUAACUGUAGGCAACACAUCAUUUCUAAUUCCAGUUCUCUCCAUCUGCACAAAAAUAAUUAGAACAAGGAUAACUAGUUCAUAUGAAGAGUUCUCUAAUCCAUUUUAUAAAUGCAAAAUGGACUGAUGGUUCCUUGGAUUGUACCUUUUAAGCAACUACUCAUCUGUUUUCCAGGCUGCUCUUGACCUUGGGUUGGGGUUUACCCUUCAAGAAGCUUUCUCUGAACCUCUGACUCAGACAGGGAAAGGGGCCUCUCCCUAUGUCGCACCUGCCUCCCCCACUUCUCCCCACGUGACACAGCACCUAUCCGCUCUGCUUUGUCUUUAAGUGCAGAUACCCUGUCUGAUACAGUUUAGCAUUUAGUGUUCCCCACCCCUCUCCAGACAUAGAAGGCAUUAGACACAGUUCACUGAUCACAAUUUAUUAUAAUCUGCUGGCAGCAUAGAUAUUAGUUACCAGAACUAUGUCUUCAUAGAAGUGGACAGUAUGUAGCCAUUCU